GUGGGGAAUAUUGGACAAUGGGCGAAAGCCUGAUCCAGCAAUGCCGCGUGAGUGAAGAAGGCCUUCGGGUUGUAAACUGCUUUUGUACGGAACGAAACGGUCCGGGUUAAUACCCUGGGCUAAUGACGGUACCGUAAGAAUAAGCACCGGCUAACUACGUGCCAGCAGCCGCGGUAAUACGUAGGGUGCAAGCGUUAAUCGGAAUUACUGGACGUAAAGCGUGCGCAGGCGGUUUUGUAAGACAGGCGUGAAAGCCCCGGGCUCAACCUGGGAAUUGCGCUUGUAACUGCAAGGCUGGAGUGCGGCAGAGGGGGAUGGAAUUCCGCGUGUAGCAGUGAAAUGCGUAGAUAUGCGGAGGAACACCGAUGGCGAAGGCAAUCCCCUGGGCCUGCACUGACGCUCAUGCACGAAAGCGUGGGGAGCAAACAGGAUUAGAAACCCUGGUAGUCC
rnacentral:rRNA from 1 species